rnacentral:rRNA from 1 species
UGGGGAAUUUUGGACAAUGGGCGCAAGCCUGAUCCAGCCAUUCCGCGUGCAGGACGAAGGUCUUCGGGUUGUAAACUGCUUUUGUACGGAACGAAAAGGCUCUGGCUAAUACAUGGGGCUCAUGACGGUACCGUAAGCAUAAGCACCCGCUAACCACGUGCCAGCAGCCGCGGUAAUACGUAGGGUGCAAGCGUUAAUCGGAAUUACUGGGCGUAAAGCGUGUGCAGGCGGUUAUGUAAGACAGAGGUGAAAUCCCCGGGCUCAACCUGGGAGCUGCCUUUGUAACUGCAUAGCUGGAGUACGGCAGAGGGGGAUGGAAUUCCGCGUGUAGCAGUGAAAUGCGUAGAUAUGCGGAGGAACACCAAUGGCGAAGGCGAUCCCCUGGGCCUUUACUGACGCUCAUGCGCGAAAGCGUGGGGAGC